UACGGAGGGAGCUAGCGUUGUUCGGAAUUACUGGGCGUAAAGCGCACGUAGGCGGCUUUGUAAGUUAGAGGUGAAAGCCCGGGGCUCAACCCCGGAAUUGCCUUUAAGACUGCAUCGCUUGAAUCCGGGAGAGGUGAGUGGAAUUCCGAAUGUAGAGGUGAAAUUCGUAGAUAUUCGGAAGAACACCAGUGGCGAAGGCGGCUCACUGGACCGGUAUUGACGCUGAGGUGCGAAAGCGUGGGGAGCAAACAGG
rnacentral:rRNA from 1 species